rnacentral:tRNA from 1 species
GCCUGGGUGGCUCAGUUGGUGAAGCGUCUGACUUCAGCUCAGGUCAUGAUCUCGUGGUUCGUGAGUUCGAGCCCCACAUCGGGCU